GUCUCCUGUGACGCGGCUACUUGUGGAUAGGAUUGUGGACUGAUUUGAGGGCGGGAGUUCUGUACGCUGAACCAGGCCAUGUUGACGGGGCGUCCGCACUAAGCUGGCCGUCAAUAUGAGAGUCGUCCGAGACAUUCAGGUUAGCCAAGGAGAGACACAUCGAGCGAGGGGUGAAAACCAGCAGCUAAGAGUCUCCGCGGCUAGCAGUAGUGGGACGCUCCCGGAGUGAACUGCCAGUGCCAGCCCGACCAAUACAGUCACACCGUAAUUUAA
rnacentral:SRP_RNA from 2 species